rnacentral:rRNA from 1 species
UAAUACAGAGGGGGCAAGCGUUAUUCGGAAUUAUUGGGCGUAAAGGGCGCGUAGGCGGCCUUGUAAGUCUUGGGUGAAAUCCCUCAGCUCAACUGAGGAACUGCCUCGGAUACUGCAAGGCUUGAGGCCGGGAGAGGGUAGUGGAAUUCCCAGUGUAGCGGUGAAAUGCGUAGAUAUUGGGAGGAACACCGGUGGCGAAGGCGGCUACCUGGACCGGUUCUGACGCUGAUGCGCGAAAGCGUGGGGAGCAAACAGGAUUAGAUACCCUGGUAGUCCACGCUGUAAACGAUGGGUGCUCGGUGUCGCGGGUAUCGACCCCUGCGGUGCCUUAGUUAACACGUUAAGCACCCCGCCUGGGGAGUACGGUCGCAAGGCUG